CCUACGGGAGGCAGCAGUGGGGAAUAUUGGGCAAUGGAGGAAACUCUGACCCAGCGACGCCGCGUGCGGGAUGAAGGCCUUCGGGUUGUAAACCGCUUUCAGUAGGGAAGAAGCGAAAGUGACGGUACCUACAGAAGAAGCACCGGCUAACUAUGUGCCAGCAGCCGCGGUAAUACAUAGGGUGCAAGCGUUGUCCGGAAUUAUUGGGCGUAAAGAGCUCGUAGGUGGUUCGUCACGUCGGAUGUGAAAAUCUGGGGCUCAACCCCAGACCUGCAUUCGAUACGGGCGAUCUAGAGUGUGGUAGGGGAGACUGGAAUUCCUGGUGUAGCGGUGGAAUGCGCAGAUAUCAGGAGGAACACCAAUGGCGAAGGCAGGUCUCUGGGCCAUUACUGACACUGAGGAGCGAAAGCGUGGGGAGCGAACAGGAUUAGAUACCCUGGUAGUCCACGCCGUAAACGGUGGGCACUAGUUGUGGGAACCUUCCACGGUUUCUGCGACGCAGCUAACGCAUUAAGUGCCCCGCCUGGGGAGUACGAUCGCAAGAUUAAAACUCAAAGAGUAGUAGCGUGNGAGAGCGACGACGACGACGAGGAGGAGG
rnacentral:rRNA from 1 species